rnacentral:rRNA from 1 species
UACGAAGGGGGCUAGCGUUGCUCGGAAUCACUGGGCGUAAAGGGUGCGUAGGCGGGUCUUUAAGUCAGAGGUGAAAUCCUGGAGCUCAACUCCAGAACUGCCUUUGAUACUGAGGGUCUUGAGUUCGGAAGAGGUGAGUGGAACUGCGAGUGUAGAGGUGAAAUUCGUAGAUAUUCGCAAGAACACCAGUGGCGAAGGCGGCUCACUGGUCCGAUACUGACGCUGAGGCACGAAAGCGUGGGGAGCAAACAGG